UACGUAGGGACCAAGCGUUGUUCGGAUUUACUGGGCGUAAAGGGCGCGUAGGCGGCAAGUUCAAGUUCAUCUGUGAAAUCUCCGGGACUUAACCCGGAAGGUCAGAUGAUACUGCUUUGCUAGAGUGCGGAAGGGGCAAUCGGAAUUCUUGGUGUAGCGGUGAAAUGCGUAGAUAUCAAGAGGAACACCUAAGGUGAAGACGGGUUGCUGGGCCGACACUGACGCUGAAGCGCGAAAGCCAGGGGAGCAAACGGG
rnacentral:rRNA from 1 species